UUGAAAGUAAUUCCCUUUACAAAUACAGUAUUGAUAAGCAUUCUCAUUAUUGGCACGGUACAUGCAACUCCAAAAAGUAAGAUAGUUGAGUAUCCUUAAUGAGAUAACUUCUCUAAAUAAAGGUGAUGAUAUGACAGAUAUUCCUCAUGGCUUAGUAACCGGAAAAGUCGUAACAAGGUAACCGUAAGCCACACUGGAACUGAGACACGGUCCAGACUCCUACGGGAGGCAGCAUUGGGGAAUAUUGCACAAUGGGCGAAAGCCUGAUGCAGCCAUGCCGCGUGUAUGAAGAAGGCCUUCGGGUUGUAAAGUACUUUCAGUUGUGAGGAAGGGUGUGUAGUUAAUAGCUGCACAUCUUGACGUUAGCAACAGAAGAAGCACCGGCUAACUCCGUGCCAGCAGCCGCGGUAAUACGGAGGG
rnacentral:rRNA from 1 species